rnacentral:hammerhead_ribozyme from 1 species
AUCCAUCUGACGCGUCCGGAAUAGGACGAAACGCAUAUCCUGGAU